CUCACUCGUCUCAAACCAUGAUCUCUUCAUCUCUCUGGUUGUUGCUGCUGCUGGCAGCUGUUUCUCGUGUCCACUGUGUUGAACUGAUCCAGACUGAUUCUAUGGUCUUAAGUCCUGGUCAGGUUUUGACACUGUCCUGUAAACUCUCUGGAUAUACAGUGACUGACAGCUACUGCACUGGCUUCAUUCGGCAGCCUGCAGGAAAAGCUCUGGAAUGGGUUGGAUACAUAUGUGGUAGCGGUAGCACAUAUUACAGUGAUAAACUGAAAAGUAGAUUUCAAGUCUCCAGAGAUUCUUCCAGCAACACAGUGACUCUUCAAGGACAGAAUAUGCAGACUGAGGACACAUCUGUGUAUUACUGCGCCAGAGACUCACCGUGA